rnacentral:rRNA from 1 species
UACGGAGGAUGCGAGCGUUAUCCGGAUUUAUUGGGUUUAAAGGGUGCGCAGGCGGCGUGUCAAGUCAGCGGUAAAAUGUCGGGGCUCAACCCCGGCCGGCCGUUGAAACUGGCGUGCUCGAGUUGGAGAGAAGUAUGCGGAGUUCGUGGUGUAGCGGUGAAAUGCAUAGAUAUCACGAAGAACCCCGAUUGCGAAGGCAGCAUACCGGCUCCACACUGACGCUGAGGCACGAAAGCGUGGGUAUCGAACAGG